rnacentral:rRNA from 1 species
UAGGGAAUCUUCGGCAAUGGACGAAAGUCUGACCGAGCAACGCCGCGUGGGUGAAGAAGGCUUUCGGAUCGUAAAACUCUGUUGUUAGAGAAGAACAAGGACGUUAGUAACUGAACGUCCCCUGACGGUAUCUAACCAGAAAGCCACGGCUAACUACGUGCCAGCAGCCGCGGUAAUACGUAGGUGGCAAGCGUUGUCCGGAUUUAUUGGGCGUAAAGCGCGCGCAGGCGGUUUCUUAAGUCUGAUGUGAAAGCCCCCGGCUCAACCGGGGAGGGUCAGUGGAAACUGGGAGACUUGAGGGGAGAAGAGGAGAGUGGAAUUCCAGGUGUAGCGGUGAAAUGCGUAGAUAUAUGGAGGAACACCAGUGGCGAAGGCGGCCCUCUGGUCUGUAACUGACGCUGAGGCUCGAAAGCGUGGGGAGCAAACAGG